AUAUGGAGAAGAAGAAAGCUGCAUAUCAGAAAGCGUCUGGUGUUGGUCCAUCUCAGGCAAGAGGUAGAGCCAGUAAGUCCUCGGGUAAGAAACCAAUGGACUUGUAGGAUGACGACAGUGAUUAUGAACUUGAAGAGCAUCCACCUGUCCCAGCUCGCAAGUCAGUGCAGAAGAAGAAGGCAGAGAAGUGGUUAGCCCCGGG
rnacentral:lncRNA from 1 species